GGAAUAUUGCACAAUGGGCGCAAGCCUGAUGCAGCGACGCCGCGUGAGGGAUGACGGCCUUCGGGUUGUAAACCUCUUUCCGUAGGGAAGAAGCCAGAGUGACGGUACCUGCAGAAGAAGCGCCGUCUAACUACCUGCAACCAGCCGCGGUAAUACGUAGGGCGCAAGCGUUAGCCGGAUUUAUUGGGCGUAAAGAGCUCGUAGGCGGUUUGUCGCGUCUGCCGUGAAAGUCCGAGGCUCAACCUCGGAUCUGCGGUGGGUACGGGCAGACUAGAGUGAUGUAGGGGAGACUGGAAUUCCUGGUGUAGCGGUGAAAUGCGCAGAUAUCAGGAGGAACACCGAUGGCGAAGGCAGGUCUCUGGGCAUUUACUGACGCUGAGGAGCGAAAGCAUGGGGAGCGAACA
rnacentral:rRNA from 1 species